GAUGAACGCUGGCGGCGUGCCUAAUACAUGCAAGUCGAGCGAACAGACGAGGAGCUUGCUCCUCUGACGUUAGCGGCGGACGGGUGAGUAACACGUGGAUAACCUACCUAUAAUACUGGGAUAACUUCGGGAAACCGGAGCUAAUACCAGAUAAUAUAUUGAACCGCAUGGUUCAAUAGUGAAAGACGGUUUUGCUGUCACUUAUAGAUGGAUCCGCGCCGCAUUAGCUAGUUGGUAAGGUAACGGCUUACCAAGGCGACGAUGCGUAGCCGACCUGAGAGGAUGAUCAGCCACACUGGAACUGAGACACGGUCCAGACUCCUACGGGAGGCAGCAGUGGGGAAUAUUGGACAAUGGGCGCAAGCCUGAUCCAGCCAUACCGCGUGGGUGAAGAAGGCCUUCGGGUUGUAAAGCCCUUUUGUUGGGAAAGAAAAGCAGCAGGUUAAUACCCCGCUGUUCUGACGGUACCCAAAGAAUAAGCACCGGCUAACUUCGUG
rnacentral:rRNA from 1 species